UACAGAGGGUGCGAGCGUUAAUCGGAAUUACUGGGCGUAAAGGGUGCGUAGGUGGUUAUAUUAGUUAGGUGUGAAAGCCCCGGCUUAACCUGGGAAUUGCGCCUAAUACUGUGUAGCUAGAGUACUGUAGAGGAAGGUGGAAUUUCCGGUGUAGCGGUGAAAUGCGUAGAUAUCGGAAGGAACAUCAGUGGCGAAGGCGACUUUCUGGACAGAUACUGACGCUGAGGGUGCGAAAAGCGUGGGGGAGCAAACAGG
rnacentral:rRNA from 1 species